AUUGAACGCUGGCGGCAGGCCUAACACAUGCAAGUCGAACGGUAACAGGAAGAAGCUUGCUUCUUUGCUGACGAGUGGCGGACGGGUGAGUAAUGUCUGGGAAACUGCCUUAUGGAGGGGGAUAACUACUGGAAACGGUAGCUAAUACCGCAUAACGUCGCAAGACCAAAGAGGGGGACCUUCUGGCCUCUUGCCAUCGUAUGUGCCCAGAUGGGAUUAGCUAGUAGGUGGGGUAACGGCUCACCUAGGCGACGAUCCCUAGCUGGUCUGGGAGGAUGACCAGCCACACUGGAACUGAGACACGGUCCAGACUCCUACGGGAGGCAGCAGUGGGGAAUAUUGGACAAUGGGCGCAAGCCUGAUGCAGCCAUGCCGCGUGUAUGAAGAAGGCCUUCGGGUUGUAAAGUACUUUCAGCGGGGAGGAAGGGAGUAAAGUUAAUACCUUUGCUCAUUGACGUUACCCGAAGAAGAAGCACCGGCUAACUCCGUG
rnacentral:rRNA from 1 species